AGUUGCAAGUACUGCUGGUGCUGGUAGUUCUUGAAUAACAUCAAUUACUUCAACAUCUAAAAUUUAAAUCUAGAUAAAAAUCCAAUUCAUUUUUAUUAUAUAAUAUAGUUAAACACUACUAUACCAUCCUCAUUUUCCAGUUCUCUGUAAAAUUCUCUCCAUACUUCUGCCAUAUUAUAUCUAGGCCUUUGUAUCUGUUGUGUUGCAUUUUCAUUUCCUACAUCAUAUUUUGAAAAUAACUACAAUUAUCAUAACUUAGUAGCAAUAGCGAAAGUAUUUUGAAAAAUUAUUUUCAAAAUGAAACUUGUGCCUAUCAUACUAAAUUAAAUUUUUUUUUAACUGUUUACCUGUAGGGUCCUCAACAGCAGGUGCUAUAAUAGCUACUGGCAGUUCCUGAAGUACUGGAACAUCAACCAAUGGUUCAGGAAAAACUGGAGCAUCUAAAGUGCUUCAAAAAAAUUUACCAUAAAAUGUCCAUAAUGGUGGAUGAACUCCCAAGUACCCAAGUAAUGACGCAUGGAAUGACUCCACAAAAUUAUUUGUCCGAUGAUUAAAUCCGUGGACAGAAAAUCCUUCUGGACCAACCACACCCAUCCAAUAACGAUCAAAGUAAUUAAAAACUGGCCGUAGUUCUUCAAAUACUUGCUGCUCUAUCGCAAUCGCCUUGAUCAUCAUCAACCCAUCAGCAAUUGAAAAUCCUCUAAUAUUGGGAUAUCUGUGUCCAUUUGCCGAUUAUUACCUGAUUGAAAUGAAAAGAACAACCCACUUGUUGCCAUUCAGGAAAUACUAUUCUUAUGGCGUUCCGAAGACCACUUUCAAAAUCUGUUAUGACUUGAACUGGUACUUCAUUUGAAUUGGGUAAAUGAAGACUUAAAACGUACUGCAUAACACAUGCAUACGCUGCUUGUGUGUGACGAGUUAAGCAUGCAUAAACCACUGGGAAACUCUAUAAACAUUAUUAUAAAUUUUCCAAGUAUGUUAAUUUAAAAUAAUUAAGCCCACAAAAAUGUUUAAAACAAAAUAUAUUAUUACCAUAUUAUUAAAUAUAAUGUGUACUGUAAGUAGUUGACGCAAAUCAGAGGGAUGAUUGGGAAGACAUUUAAAAGUACCGUCUAUUGCCACAUUUGUUAUUGUUAUGCUAUUUUGCCUUAAUGUUGUUACUAUUUCAGUAUUGAAGAAUAUAAUACCAUAAAACAAACCUUCAGUAAUUAAUUCACCUUGAUAAAACCUAGUCUCUAAUAAUAAAUAAUAUACAUGUUAUAAUUAAUUAAAAAUGUUUAAUUCAUUCAUUUUUAUUUUUACAAAUUGUCAAUAAUUAAUAAAAUAUAAUUCUUACGGUUUCCAAUAGUAUUCAAAUAUCUCUGCCUCCAUUCUUCAGAGUUUAUCAUACCACCCCAUUCUCUCGUUGUACUUGGUAUUGAUGGUUGGUGCCCACGUCUCGCUCUGUGCAUCAUCCUUGCUGCUUGCAAAAAAGUAUAUGCCACUGCUGCUCUUGGAAACCUAAUUAUUGAAUAUUAUGUAUAGUAUACAGGUUAAAAUAUGUUAACAUUUCUUUAAAGUAGAUACCUCUGAAUCUCGUCAUUAUAAAUUGAACGUAUAUUAGUUUGUUCUCUCGUAGAUCUCCGCCUUAAUGAACGAAUUAAAGCCGUUUGGUUGUCAUUAUUUUCUACAUGUCGUAGUGGAGCACAUGUAUGAGGUCUUAAUAGCUUGAAAUCACUAUUGUCUAGUUUUGUGCUGCCUCUACCUCGACAUUGUGAAUUGAAAUAAUUUGUGCAUCUCAAUUGUCUGGUAAUAGUAAAAUAUCAAUAAUUAUAUACUUAAAUUACCCCAAUGUAUUAUUUUAUAUUUUAUGAUUAAAUUUAACCUUCUGUUUGCAGUUUCAUUAUGGCUGUAGUAUUGAAAAUUUAAGUUAUCAAUAUAAAUGUUUGAUCGCUCGUGAACUCCUGGCUCCAUACGAACAACAUUCCGAUUAGCUAAAGUUUAAAAAUAAACAUAACCUAGGUUAAAGUAUACAUAAGUGGCGAAUACUGACUCCGAAGUAAAACACCGUUAGGAAGACUAAGAAAGUGGUGGGAAGAUGUUAUAAAAAGGGAUGUAGAAGAGAUGGAAAUGAUGCCGAUUGAAGAAAUCUAAUGACGAACAGAAAAUAAUAGAAGUUUGUUUGUGAGACGAGAUGGUCUUAUAGGCACAUUAACCCAAGUUGAAAAAGAUUAUGUAUAUUUGAACCAAAUUAUUAACUUUGUAUAAUUAUGCGAGAAUUUAUUAUAUAAUAUAGCUGAACAAGGCUUCGGUUUUGUGUUAAAUAAUUGAUUCAUAAAUAAAUUUUUUUUUUUAUUAUAAUUAAACUCGUAUUUAAACCCUAUGCAAAUAUAUAAUAUUUUUUUAUAAUUUAA